rnacentral:lncRNA from 1 species
GGGAGUUGUGGUUGCCAAAGGUGAAAGGAGCACAGGUGCCAAGUGUCCUUUGCCUGGUGCUAUAAAAUAUCCAUUGGUAUCUAGGGAUGCCCCCCAAGUGCCCACCCUGGACUCCUACUUACUUGGACUUGGAUAAAAGAAGGUUUUAUGGCCAGGCGCAGUGGCUUAUGCCUGUAAUCCCAACACUUUGGGAGGCAGAGGAGGAUGGAUCAUCUGAGGUCAGGAGUUCAAGACCAGCCUGACCAACAUGGUGAAACCCCAUCUCUACUACAAAUACACAAAUUAGCCAGGUGUGAUGGUGCAUGCCUGUAGUCCUAGCUACUUGGGAGGCUGAGGCAAAAUAAUUGCUUGAAACUAGGAGGUAGGGGUUUCAGGGGGUUGCAGUGAGCCUAGAUCGAGCCGCUGUACUCCACCAGCCUGGGAAACAGAGUGAGACUCCAUCUCAAAAAAAAAAAAAGAAGGAGGAGGAGGAGGAGGAGAAGGAGGAAGAGAAGGAGGAGGAAGAAGGAGGAGGAAGAAGAAGAAGGAAGAAGAAAGAAGGAAGAAGGAAGGAGAAGGAGAAGGAGAAGAAGAAGAAGAAGAAGGAGAAUAAGAAGAAGAAAGGUUUUCUGAGGGACACAGUUGUGCCCAGACAUCUCUGCCUCUUGCAACAACCUGCCAAGAAUGUGGAAAGCUGGAAAGGAAAAGGUGAACAUCUCUGGACUGAAACAGGAAAACUGUUUCUAGGGUAGGCAGGGGGGAUGUCCAGGCCAUGUCCAGAAAGGGCAGGUUUGCUCUGGGUUCCUUGUAAGUGACCUCCCUGGGGCUCGGGGCUGAGAUGGAGCCUAUAACAUUGUCUAAGGCCACAUUUCAGACAACUACCUGAGAAUGGCUGUUUUACCAAAUAGCUGGCCAGCACACGGGGUCUAUGUCUCUGUGUCUUUUGGCUAAGUUAUUCAUAACAACCCUCUUCAGCUGUCAGGGUUACCCUGGGGAAUGUCAGUUCCAGGCACUCCUGGUUCCAGUGGGCAUUCAGGCAAAGGGUGCUCCAGCAGCCCAGGGUAGCCCUGAUACCUUGCACAGGUGCCUGCCAUUAAAUGGGGCUGGAACCGAGGGGUAUAGAUGGAACAGUUCAGAACCUGCUUUCAUUCCUGCCCUUCCAGACUGCUCUUUUAAAAGGUGUAAAUCAGGCCAGGCAUGGUGAUACAUGCCUGUAGUCCCAGCUACUCAGAAGGCUAA